CCUACGGGCGGCAGCAGUGGGGAAUAUUGCACAAUGGGGGAAACCCUGAUGCAGCGACGCCGCGUGAGUGAAGAAGUAAUUCGUUAUGUAAAGCUCUAUCAGCAGGGAAGAAAAUGACGGUUCCUGAGCAAGAAGCCCCGGCUAACUACGUGCCAGCAGCCGCGGUAAUACGUAGGGGGCAAGCGUUUUCCGGAUUUACUGGGUGUAAAGGGGGCGUAGACGGCAGGGCAAGUCUGGAGUGAAAGGCGGGGGCUCAACCCCCGGACUGCACUGGAAACUGUACGGCUGGAGUGCAGGAGAGGUAAGUGGAAUUCCUAGUGGAGCGGUGAAAUGCGUAGAUAUUAGGAGGAACACCAGUGGCGAAGGCGGCUUACUGGACUGUGACUGACGUUGAGGCUCGAAAGCGUGGGGAGCAAACAGGAUUAGAUACCCGGGUAGUC
rnacentral:rRNA from 1 species